AAGCUCGUAGUUGAAUUUCGGGGUUCUACCGUUGGUCGGGCUUUGUCUGUACUGGCGUGUAGAAUUUCUACCUUCUGGGGAACUAUCAUGUUAUUAAUUUAACGUGGUGGGAAACCAGGACCUUUACCUUGAAAAAAUUAGAGUGUUCAAAGCAGGCUUAUGUCUGAAUACAUUAGCAUGGAAUAAUAGAAUAGGACGGUGGUCCUGUUUUGUUGGUUUCUGAAUCACCGUAAUGAUUAAUAGGGAUAGUUGGG
rnacentral:rRNA from 1 species